AUCUCUGUGAGUUCGAGGCCAGCCUGGUCUACAAAGUCUCCAAAGCUACAGAGAAACCUUGUCUCGAAAAACCAAAAAAAAAAAAAAAAUGCAAUAGUACCUGCUUGAAAGGGCUUUGCACAACCUGGUCGUAAUUGUACACCCCAGUCAGCUUCUUCCUCUGCUGCCAUGGUACCACAGAAAACAAGGCCACACAAUUCCACCGGCCAACCUGAAACACCGAGCGAGCGUCUCAGGGAAUUCUGCUCUCUCUUUCUAGAGGUCUUCACUCAAGUCUCCCGCAUGAGGGCCAAGAGUCUUGACACUUAGAGGACAACGGUCCUCAAAGCUCGGAUGAGCUCACCGGCUCUGGACAGCCUCUUCGCGGUAUUCACUGGCUCUAACUGCAGCAGGUUCAGAACACAUGUCCUGUGUGGGCACACGGUGCUGAUGUCAACAGUUUGCUGCGACUGCAGGUCCAUAAAGCUACUGACAGGAGAAUUGCACAGGUGUCCGCGUGGGCCCUGGCCAGGGUUUAUGACUGCUAGAAGAUGAGGUGGGGCAGUCAGUCCUCAGAGAGGCAGCUUUCACAACGAUUUCUGUGAGUGCCCCCCAGUCCUUCAUGAAUCACUUGC